GGGGGUGUGGCGGAAUCGGUAGACGCUGCAGAUUUAAAAUCUGUUUCUUGCAAGAGAGUGAGAGUUCAAGUCUCUCCAUCCCCA
rnacentral:tRNA from 1 species